rnacentral:rRNA from 1 species
CAAAGGCUUGGUCCUGACUUUACUAUCAACUUUAGACGAAAUUACACAUGCAAGUAUCCGCACUCCUGUGAGAAUGCCCUACAGUUCCCUGUCCGGGAACAAGGAGCAGGUAUCAGGCACACUCAUCAAGCCCAUAACACCUUGUUCAGCCACACCCUCAAGGGAGCUCAGCAGUGAUAAACAUUAAGCCAUAAGUGAAAACUUGACUUAGUUAAAGCUAAAAGGGCCGGUAAAACUCGUGCCAGCCACCGCGGUUAUACGAGAGGCCCAAGUUGAAAGACACCGGCGUAAAGCGUGGUUAAGCUAAAAUUUAAAUUAAAGUUAAACAUCUUCAAGACUGUUAUACGUAUCCGAAGACAGGAACCUCAAUUACGAAAGUAACUUUAUAUAAGCUGAAUCCACGAAAGCUAUAGCACAAACUGGGAUUAGAUACCCCACUAUG